rnacentral:lncRNA from 1 species
UGAGAUUAAAAUUAUAAAUAAACAAAUAAAUUUAUCAGAUUUUUGAAACGAACGCGUCACGCGCGUCCAACAAAUUGUUCCACUCAAUUUUUUUCAAGAAAAAUAAAAAAGAAACUCAAAAAUAGAGCAAUGGAGGGUGCACCUGAUUGCCGCCAUGGCCGUCGUAGACGCCGAAGAAAUGAACAGGGGAGAUCUCGGAAGAGGUUUUGGAACCUGGGGCCGUGCAACCGCCCACGUGAUCGCACGUGCGAGACAUGAAGCCAGGAAUCAAAGCGACGGCGUCCUCCAUCUCUCUCCGUCUCCCAAUCACCGAAGUGAAGCCCCAAGUCACUCCCUUGUUG